CACCUCUCAGGGUUGCACCUGGAGAGUUUCCAGGAUUCUACCAGUCUCGACUAUGGGAGGGAGAGUCAAACAGAGGCAUAUCCAUUCCAUUCCUAGCUCAGGCAGUGGCUAGCAAGUGGAAGGCCAACUGCUACAAGU